ensembl:lncRNA
GCAAAUUAGAACAAACAUCCUACUGAGGGAUUUUGCAGAACUACCUUCUAUUCAUACAGUUGCUAAUUAUUUGGCAUUAUUGCAGGCAAACCAGCCUAUGAAAUGGAUGAAACACAUUGUGACUGAGUUCCAGCGCUACACAAGGGACCUGCUUCAAACAUACCACCAUGCCAAUCAGAUUACUUCUUCUAUCUGAGUAACAGCAGAAGAGUCUGGUGGAGCAACAGAGGAACAAUUUCAGCCAUUUGGACUCAGCUCAGCCACUACAGAGGAAACAAUGACUUCAACACAAAAGGACCAACAUGGAGCAAGAAGUCAGCGCUCUCAGGAGGCCGACAAACCUCACAGAAGAAAG